UAAUAACAACAAUAGUAAUAAUAACAAUAAUAGUAAUAAUAACAAUAAUAAUAACAAUAAUAAUAACAAUAAUAAUAAUAAUAAUAAAAUGAUAAUACCUAAUAGUGAUGGACAAAACAGUGAUAAUGAAUAUUCACCAACAAAAAGAACAAGAGCACCAAGAGGAAGAAGAAUGGAAAGUUUAACUGCUCGUGCAAGUGCAUUGCCACAAGUUGAGGGAGUUCGCUUCGAUCCACAUUCUUAUUCAUGGUUUGCUAAAUAUUUAGAACAUGAAGAUUCGAAAGAACCUAAAAUUUCAAAAUAUUUAUUAAAAAAAUGGGGAUUUAAUAAAGCACAUGCUUUAGCUGUACAUACUGUUAAUUGUGCAUACAAAGCUGUUCCUUUCACAGAUGAAGAAUUAAUGAAUAUUUUUAACAUAGAUGUAAACAAUGUUAUGAAUAACCAACGUAAUAGGAUGUUAAGUAUGUCACCAUAUAACGAUAUGUAUAAAGGAAUGCAUAAUGAAAAUAAUGGUAUGGGUAAUAAUAUGGGAAAUAAUAUGGGAAAUAAUAUGGGAAAUAAUAUGGGAAAUAAUAUGGUUAAUAAUAUGGGUAAUAAUAUGGGUAAUAAUAUGGGUGUUAAUAAUGUAUUUAAUAUGAAUAAUUACAAUAACAAUAUGAUGAAUGUAAAUAAUAAUAAUAAUGUUAUGAAGAAUAUGGAAAAAGAUAAUAACAAUAAUAACAAUAAUAGUAGUAAUUGUAGUGAUAGUAGUAAUACUAGUAGUAAUACUAGUGGUAAUAAUAAUAAUAAUAAUGUAACAAGUUCAGGUAAUAUGGGUAAUACUAUAAAUAACACUAAUAGCUACAAAGGUAAUACAAAUGAGAAAAAAAUGAUGAAAAAUAUGAACCAGAUGAAUGGCAUGGGUCAGAUGAAUGGCAUGGGUCAAAUGAAUGGCAUGGGUCAGAUGAAUGGCAUGGGUCAGAUGAAUAGUAUGGGUCAGAUGAAUAGUAUGGGUCAGAUGAACAUGUACAAUAUGAUAAAUGGUAUGCACAAUAUGCACAAUAUGCGGAAUAUGCACAAUAUGCAUAAUAUGCAUAAUAUGUAUAACAUGCAUAAUAUGAACAUAGGGAUGGGCAUGGGAAUGGGGAUGAACCAGAUGAAUAAUAUGAACCAGAUGAACAACGGUUAUAAUAUGAACACUAACGAAGGAAGAUUUAGUAAUAAAAAUUCGAACAUAAAAAGUGGAAAUAGUGACACAACUCCUGUUUCAAAUAAUAUUGAUAUGAGUAAGAUUAACAAUAGUUUAGGAAACAAAAAAAUGAAAUCAACAAAAAGAGUAUGACAAAUAUUUAUACAAUUACAAAUACUGGUAGUAAUAAUACUGGUAGUAAUAAUACUGGUAGUAAUAAUACUGGUAGUAAUAAUACUGGUAGUAAUAAAGGAACUGAUUGUAAAAGCGGUCGUAGCUUC
rnacentral:lncRNA from 1 species